UACGUAGGGUGCGAGCGUUAAUCGGAAUUACUGGGCGUAAAGUGUGCGCAGGUGGCUUCGCAAGUCGAGUGUGAAAUCCCCAGCUUAACCUGGGAACUGCAUCCGAUACUGGAUGGCUUGAAUCCGGGAGAGGGAUGCAGAAUUCCAGGUGUAGCGGUGAAAUGCGUAGAUAUCUGGAGGAAUACCGGUGGCGAAGGCGGCAUC
rnacentral:rRNA from 1 species